rnacentral:tRNA from 1 species
GCGGGAAUAGCUCAGUUGGUAGAGCACGACGGGGUCGCGAGUUCGAGUCUCGUUUCCCGCUCCA